CGGACGGGUGAGUAAUGUCUGGGAAACUGCCCGAUGGAGGGGGAUAACUACUGGAAACGGUAGCUAAUACCGCAUAACGUCGCAAGACCAAAGAGGGGACCUUCGGGCCUCUUGCCAUCGGAUGUGCCCAGAUGGGAUUAGCUAGUAGGUGGGGUAAUGGCUCACCUAGGCGACGAUCCCUAGCUGGUCUGAGAGGAUGACCAGCCACACUGGGACUGAGACACGGCCCAG
rnacentral:rRNA from 1 species